ensembl:lncRNA
UUAUUGUUCUCUUGACCUUUCUGAAAGAGUUUGGCAGAAUCUCCUGUUCUGUGGAAUAAAGAGACUUUACUUUCAGGCUGCAGGUUUUCAAAGCUCCGGGCUAAAUUUUAUUUGUCUUUUCUUCCAGGUAAAUCCAAUAUAAAAGGUCAAGAUAGAGGUUUGCUGGUUUAGUAAUGUAGUGGCUCGAGGCUGGAAUAUAAUUCCUAUUUUAUGUAUUCUGGAGAAGCAGCUUCAGAAGUGGCUGAAGUGAAACAUCGGUGUAGCUUGCAUGUGAAUAACGUCGCCCAGGCACUUCUAGCUGAUGGUUAUUUGGAGCAGAAGGGUCCACGUAACAUUUGAGGUUUCUCCUAGCAAACGACAAGAAUCAGCUCUGACCCAGUGACCUGUUACAAGUCUGCCAUAAAAAUCAGAAGUUAAUUUCAGGUCUAGUGAUGGGCCCACAACUGGAUCCCUGAGGAACUCGGCAGUGCUCCCAUGUGCCAUUCCCAGAGGUGUGCAGAAUCCCUCUGAUGGCAGAGCCCUGAUUUCUGAGGAUCGUUGCAAAGCAAACUCAAUUUCAUGCAGGUUGUGACCUCUUGUUUGAGUGCUCAGAGAUUUGUGACCUACUUCAUGACUGAGCUUUUUGUUUGCUUUUAGCUCUUUGGAUGGAGAAACUAAGAAAACCUCCAAGACAGACCCUGAUGUAAUUACUUCAUCACGUGAGAAGGGCUGUGCAGAAGUACUGGUCUGGCUCUCCUGGACCAGAAGUCUAAGGACAAAUCCCAAGCAGCUGCAAUGCGAAUUCUGCCCUGACCCACUCCCUGCCAGACCAGAGCUGUCAGGACUGUGGGAUGUGGCUGAGGACAGUCCUGGCAGAAGAAGCAGAAAAUACCAGUAUCCCACCAGUGGAUGCACAGAUGACAUUCACAAAAGGCUCAGCACUCAGAACUCUUGCAGCGUAGGCCUGACCUGAGCACACAGCGGGACUCUUCCACUGACUUUGAAUGGAGCCCUCUGUCAACGAUGCAUGGUGGAGCUAAUCAGGUAAUGCGAGGAAACAGCUGCGAAGUGCCCAGCCUUCAGGAUCUGUGUGUCUCGCCAGUUCCGUGUGGCAUUAGCAAAACGUAUCCGUUAGUAACAGCUUGAAGUUACAUUUGCUAAACAAACACUGUGCAGUUCUGCAGUUACAUUGAGCGCUCUGGGUUGUUUCUCUGUUACACUGUAUAAAAUAUUGCUAUUCUCAAACUGAAUGGUGCAGUACAUUUGACAUAACCCAGGUACGAGUGAAGAAUUAUACAAAAAUGUGAGAGAUGCACUUUGAAGCUUAUGUGCAAAUGGAUUAAAACAUAUCUAUGCAACUUGUGAAUAAAUGCAUGAUCUGAAGGAGAAUUUUCA